rnacentral:miRNA from 1 species
AGAUAGGAUUGAGAUGGAGGAUGGGAGGGGAGGAUGGGAGGAAGGAGUAAAAAAAAGUGAAAACAAAAACAAAAAACUGUAAUCUUUUUGAAAUUGUUUUCACUUUCAAGUUGUUGUUUUCACUUUUGUUACUCCUCUCUCCCAUCCUCCCCUCUUAUCCUCUCCUUCCAAUCUCAUCC